CCGCACAGACGGCCUCUCCCCAUCAGCCGCCCUUCUUGGAGGCUUCACUCUUACCUCUAAACCCUGGGGAAGGGAGCCCCAGGCUGUCUGCACAGCAGCCAGCGGGAUCUGGGCUGUGAAGUUAGGGAGAAGCAGUGGCUUGGGACAGUGGAAUUACCACCGGCUGGGGUGGGGGCAGCGCUGGGGAAGUGCUCCACCACUUCCCACCUGAGGGGCCUUGACUGAGUCACUGCGUCUCUCCGGGCACCCCUCUCGUGCAUCAGUAGAUGAGCUAAAACAAGUAAUCUGCCGCCAAGGGCUGCGGCGAGGGUUCUAUGAGGUCAUGCAGGAAAGGCCUCGGCGUAGGGCGAGGAGGCCUUAGUGGACUGAACUCAGGACUCUGGCGUCCAGCAGGUCAGGGCUCGCGCUCCCAGAACUUCCGCUGGGACCUCCCGUCCGGCUCUUUGAGGAACACAUGAUGGGAGUCCAUCGGCACCCUCAGCACAGAGCCUGCCCCCGAGACGGAGCUCAUGAAUGUUUGUGGAGUCAGAGCAAGAGAAGAGACAGCACUGGACCCCACGCAGCACGCGGCCCUACAGGCUCAUUGGCACAGGCCGGGGGGACGGGCCUGCUCAGUGGGCGGAGGCGAGUCCUGGGAAGGAGCAGCCAGGGCAGGUUUGUCCUCUGCCUGGACAACAGCCUUGUGCAGUGUUGGUGGUAACUCUCCUUUCCCUUUUAAAACAUUUUUAGUGAUGAUGGUGGUGGUGAUGAUGAUGUUUGGGUACAAAUUGGGAGAGAAACUUCAGUGGGGUUCUCUGCGCCGCUAGGCACAGUGUAUCAUGUUCCUGGGUCCACCGUGCUCCUCCCCUCCCCAGGAUAGCCACCCCUGUCUUUGCAGAAGGAGAGCACCUUUCCUUCUUGCCUCAGCUUCUCCCAUCCUGCUCAGACCUUGUCCUCUGGCAAAGGUGUUCUUUGCCAGAAGACCCCAGCAUCUUACAGGCCACCACGUUAGCCAGACAGCAGGAUGGCACAGAAACCUUCCCCACGUCGACUCCGGGGGUGAAGGUGUUGCCCGCCCUGUGGAUUUUCCAGAGGGCCUGGAGGAUCCUGGUGGGGCCAUGGCAGGCUGGGGGCUCAAGAUCGGCCGGAGCAUAUGAGAGGGGCCCAACUUCUUCUGAGCUGCGCCCUAGACAGCCUGGAUGCAGGCAUAUUCCCUUCUUUCCCUCCCUCCCUCCUUCUUUCUCUCUCUCUCUCUGACUCUCUUUUCCAGGAUGUAUUUUUUGGGAACCUGCUCUGAGGCAGCACCAGGAAGGCAAAGUCCCUGUCCUCACAGAGCUCGCAGGCGGGAGGGGAGACAGACAGACAGACUUGGGCACCUGAGAAGUGCCGGGCGCAGGGAGUAUCUAAGCAGGAUGUCUGAUGAAGCAGUCAGGGCAGGCCCCUGACAAAGUGGUGCUUCAGCUGAAACCUGGAGGAUGGGUCAGAGUUAGCAGGUGGUGAGGUUAGAGGGAGGGUGGCCUGGGCGGAGAGAAUAGCACAUGAAGUGGCCCCAACAAUAUCUCCCCGCCAAAGUGAGACCUUGACACUCCUCCCAAUGAGAGGUAGGAUCUCUGCCCCCUCCCCUUGAAUGUGGGUGGUUUCUGACUUGCUUGUAACCAGUAGAAUGCAGUGGGAGUGACACUACCCGACUGCCAAGACUGGGUGAAAGAAGCCAGUGCAGCUUCUGCCUUGUUCACUGGCACACUCUGUGUUGGCGCCAUGAGCCAAGCUGGACCCCAAGAAGUCCAGCUACCCGGAAGCUGACGUGUGAAGACUGCAUGUACCAUGGGUCCCAGCUGGCAGCUGGCAUCAACCCCCAGACGUGGGAGGAAAGAGGCCCCUCGCCAUUGAGUCAUCCCCAGCUAUAGCGUCUUCCUGCUGAGGCCCCAGCCAUCAGGCAGCAGAGAUAAGCCAUCCUAGUGUUCCGUGCCCGAACUCCUGACCCACAGAACCCAUGAGGAUAAGGAAAUGGUUAUUUGAGGCCGCAAAGUUUUGGUGGUAAUUUGUUACGCUGCAGUAGUAACAGGAGCGGACCCUGAGGCAAGGGCAACUGUGAGUUCUUCCAGGAGCUGAGAGGAGUGCGGUGUGGAGGAGAGAAGGGGAGCGUGGCAGAGGAUGAGGCCUUGUCAGAGGGGGGACUUCAUCCCGAGGGCAGUCAGGAAGCACUGCAAGGUUCUGAGCAGGACAGGGUUCCUUCCGCCUUGCUUUUGUUUCUAAGAGGGCCACUGGCGUUGACUGGAUUGACAGGUGCGGCGGCCGAGGCAUCAGAGCUGCUGGGAGUUGGUUGCAGCUGUCUUGUUGCCCGGGAGUCCCCUGAGCACGGGGGCAUGUGUGGCGUGGGCCGUGUGGAGCUCUCCUUUUGUCCAGCCCAGCACAGCAGAGCUCCUCCCCACUCGUACCCAGAACAUCCUCGUCAAGCCUCCACCUUGAUGGCUCCCAGAUCUUGGAAUCCUCCUGACCUCAGUGAGCACCAUCCCUGAGUUUCCACCUGCCUGUUGGACCGGUGUCAUGUGACUAAAGCAUUUGAGGAAAAGGGAAUCUUUCUUUUUCUUUGUAUAGUUUUUACCAGAAUGAAAAAGACGUGUGAUGUUUACAUGGUGGCAGAAUACAAAGAAUCUUCAUUAUGUCCCACAGUUUGUAUAAAUUUCAUGUGUUUUCCUAUUUAUCACCUUCCUGACAGUUAACAGUUCUUUUGUUUUUCUUUUUCCUGUCGGGAAUGUUGGGAUGUUCUACUGAGAUAACUGUGUAUGAGGGGUGGGGGCUGAGGCGGGGGGAAGUGCACGAAUAAUGUGUGUUACG